rnacentral:rRNA from 1 species
AAAAGUCGUAACAAGGUCUCCGUUGGUGAACCAGCGGAGGGAUCAUUACCGAGUUUACAACUCCCAAACCCCUGUGAACAUACCUUAUGUUGCCUCGGCGGAUCAGCCCGCGCCCCGUAAAAAGGGACGGCCCGCCGCAGGAACCUUAAACUCUGUUUUUAGUGGAACUUCUGAGUAUAAAAAACAAAUAAAUCAAAACUUUCAACAACGGAUCUCUUGGUUCUGGCAUCGAUGAAGAACGCAGCAAAAUGCGAUAAGUAAUGUGAAUUGCAGAAUUCAGUGAAUCAUCGAAUCUUUGAACGCACAUUGCGCCCGCCAGUAUUCUGGCGGGCAUGCCUGUUCGAGCGUCAUUUCAACCCUCAAGCCCAGCUUGGUGUUGGGAGCUGCAGUCCUGCUGCACUCCCCAAAUACAUUGGCGGUCACGUCGAGCUUCCAUAGCGUAGUAAUUUACAUAUCGUUACUGGUAAUCGUCGCGGCCACGCCGUUAAACCCCAACUUCUGAAUGUUGACCUCGGAUCAGGUAGGAAUACC